rnacentral:rRNA from 1 species
UACGGAGGGAGCUAGCGUUGUUCGGAAUUACUGGGCGUAAAGCGCACGUAGGCGGCUUUGUAAGUCAGAGGUGAAAGCCUGGAGCUCAACUCCAGAACUGCCUUUGAGACUGCAUCGCUUGAAUCCAGGAGAGGUGAGUGGAAUUCCGAGUGUAGAGGUGAAAUUCGUAGAUAUUCGGAAGAACACCGACGGCGAAGGCAGCGUCCUGGCCGAGACCUGACGCUCAGGCACGAAAGCUCGGGGAGCAAACAGG